rnacentral:rRNA from 1 species
GCUUCCCAUACGGGUUGAAGCAUGACCGUAAGGACAUGUGGACAGUAUGGGAGUGAGAAUGUUGGCAUGAGUAGCGAGAUGUGGGUGGGAAUCCCACAGGCCGUAAACCCAAGGUUUCCAGGGGAAGGUUCGUCCGCCCUGGGUUAGUCGGGACCUAAGCUGAGGCCGAAAGGCGUAGGUGAUGGACAACAGGUUGAUAUUCCUGUACUACCGAU